AUUGAACGCUGGCGGCAGGCCUAACACAUGCAAGUCGAACGGUAGCACAGAGAGCUUGCUCUCGGGUGACGAGUGGCGGACGGGUGAGUAAUGUCUGGGAAACUGCCCGAUGGAGGGGGAUAACUACUGGAAACGGUAGCUAAUACCGCAUAACGUCGCAAGACCAAAGUGGGGGACCUUCGGGCUUCACACCAUCGGAUGUGCCCAGAGGGGAUUAGCUAGUAGGUGGGGUAAUGGCUCACCUAGGCGACGAUCCCUAGCUGGUCUGAGAGGAUGACCAGCCACACUGGAACUGAGACACGGUCCAGACUCCUACGGGAGGCAGCAGUGGGGAAUAUUGCACAAUGGGCGCAAGCCUGAUGCAGCCAUGCCGCGUGUAUGAAGAAGGCCUUCGGGUUGUAAAGUACUUUCAGCGGGGAGGAAGGCGGUGGAGUUAAUAACUUCACCGAUUGACGUUACCCGCAGAAGAAGCACCGGCUAACUCCGUGCCAGCCGCCGCUGUAA
rnacentral:rRNA from 1 species